AGCUCAAUUGGUAGAGCAACUGACUUGUAAUCAGUAGGUUGGGGGUUCAAGUCCCCUA
rnacentral:tRNA from 1 species